UCUCAAUCCCAACCUCACUCCUGCAGCCAAUUUUAAGGUGGCGUCGGCGGCGAUUGAUCCUCUCCGCUCCUCGCUCGUGACGGUCCCCUUCGUCCUCCCCCCCCUAUCUUUCGUUCCGCAUCAGGACCAGGCCUCCCCGUCCUCCGCCAUUCGGAGCCUCUCAUCGAGCGUGCGGCUUGACGGUCUCAGCUCCGGCUCCAAGGGCGGCGGCCCAGCCUUCGUCGGCCAGGUCUUCAGCAUGCUGGAUCCGUCGGGGAACGGGCUCAUGGCG
rnacentral:misc_RNA from 1 species